rnacentral:sRNA from 25 species
GUCAGUAACCCAGCCCUAAAGGGACUGGGCUUGCAAGAGUAAUCAAGCAAGCCGUGCUGACCAGACCACCCUGAGCCUAGUCUAAGGGUAGCCGUUAUUUGAGUCACGACACCCCGGAAUGCGUUCGCGCCAGCGUGCCGUCAGGCAUAGCUAGUUCCCUGCUCUGUC